GACGAACGCUGGCGGCGUGCUUAACACAUGCAAGUCGUACGGUAAGGCCCUUUCGGGGGUACACGAGUGGCGAACGGGUGAGUAACACGUGAGUAACCUGCCCACAACUUUGGGAUAACGCUAGGAAACUGGUGCUAAUACUGGAUAUGUGCUCCUGCUGCAUGGUGGGGGUUGGAAAGCUCCGGCGGUUGUGGAUGGACUCGCGGCCUAUCAGCUUGUUGGUGGGGUAGUGGCCUACCAAGGCGGCGACGGGUAGCCGGCCUGAGAGGGUGACCGGCCACAUUGGGACUGAGAUACGGCCCAGACUCCUACGGGAGGCAGCAGUGGGGAAUCUUGCACAAGGGGCGCAAGCCUGAUGCAGCAACGCCGCGUGCGGGAUGACGGCCUUCGGGUUGUAAACCGCUUUCAGCAGGGACGAAGCUUUUUGUGACGGUACCUGCAGAAGAAGCACCGGCUAACUACGUG
rnacentral:rRNA from 1 species